UGCUCAGACCAAUUCUUUUACAUUUUCCUUCUCUCUUAAGCCAAACCCACUAGUAAAGCUCUUACCCAAACCCAUUAAGCUUCUCUCACAAAGUCACAUGCAGAAGCAGAGAUGAAAACAAUUGAAAAAUUCCGUGUAGAUUAAGCUCAUCCACGGUUCAUCCAAAACUCCAAGAUCAAAGCUCUCGGACCUCAUGCCUCUCUCCGAGAGGACUUUUUCGAAGUAAAGGACUAUAGAUCGAGAAGAUUUGCUUGCCAAUCUACUCAAAAAUUGAGGCUAAUAUGCAAAUUUCAAGCUCUGUGAGAACCUGGUUACUACGAGGAUGGGAAAUUUGGUAUAAGAUUGGAGAAUGUGCUUAUUUUCAAAGAGGGCAAUACUAAGUUCAACUUUGGCGACAAGGGUUACUUGACAUUUGAGCUUAUAACUUGGACACCAUAUCAGAGGAAGUUGAAUGAUGUUAGCCUUCUGUGCCCGAAGAGAUUCAAUGGUUGAACGACUACCACUCUAAAUGCUCGGAAAUCUUCGCUCCUUACUUGAAUCAAUCUGAGAUGGAAUGGCUGAAGAAUGCUACUGCACCCAUUGCAGCUUGAAACAAGUUAUUACAAGUUAAUUUCAACAAAAAGAAACAAGAACUAUUAGCUCCUCAAAGGGCAUCACAUAUCGAAGGAGAAACUAAUUUAGCUAGUCAACUUU